UCGCGCAGAAUCUUCCGCAAUGGACGAAAGUCUGACGGAGCGACGCCGCGUGAUGGAUGAAGUCCUUAGGGACGUAAACAUCUUUUAUGAAGGAGAAAGUCAUUGAUAGUACUUCAUGAAUAAGGGGUUGCUAAACUCGUGCCAGCAGCCGCGGUAAUAAAU
rnacentral:rRNA from 1 species